rnacentral:piRNA from 1 species
UAGCUACGUUUUCUAGCUCACCCCAGCC